GCGAAAGUGGUGGAACUGGUAGACACGCUACCUUGAGGUGGUAGUGAGAUUUCUCGUAGGGGUUCGAGUCCCCUCUUUCGCA
rfam:Chlamydiae bacterium RIFCSPHIGHO2_12_FTLL_27_8 rifcsphigho2_12_scaffold_13453, whole genome shotgun sequence.